rnacentral:misc_RNA from 1 species
CCGAGUUUACAACUCCCAAACCCCUGUAAACAUACCACUUGUUGCCUCGGCGGAUCAGCCCGCUCCCGGUAAAACGGGACGGCCCGCCAGAGGACCCCUAAACUCUGUUUCUAUAUGUAACUUCUGAGUAAAACCAUAAAUAAAUCA